GUGGGUACAGCUCAGUUUGGUUAGAGCACCAGGUUGUGGCCCUGGGGGCCGUGGGUUCAAGUCCCACUACUCACCCCA
rnacentral:tRNA from 1 species